CAGUAGCCACGGGAAUACAGAGGGUGCGAGCGUUAAUCGGAUUUACUGGGCGUAAAGCGUGCGUAGGCGGCUUUUUAAGUCGGAUGUGAAAUCCCUGAGCUUAACUUAGGAAUUGCAUUCGAUACUGGGAAGCUAGAGUAUGGGAGAGGAUGGUAGAAUUCCAGGUGUAGCGGUGAAAUGCGUAGAGAUCUGGAGGAAUACCGAUGGCGAAGGCAGCCAUCUGGCCUAAUACUGACGCUGAGGUACGAAAGCAUGGGGAGCAAACAGGAUUAGAUACCCGUGUAGUCCCUGUCUCUUAUAA
rnacentral:rRNA from 1 species